AGCAGCCGCGGUAAUUCCAGCUCCAAUAGCGUAUAUUAAAGUUGUUGCAGUUAAAAAGCUCGUAGUUGAAUUUCGGGGUUAGUAGGUCGGUCAUGCCUCAGGUAUGCACUGGUCUCACUGAUUCCUCCUUCCUGAUGAGCCGUAACGCCAUUAAUUUGGUGUUGCGGGGAAUCUGGACUGUUACUUUGAAAAAAUUAGAGUGUUUGAAGCAGGCUAACGCUUGAAUACAUUAGCAUGGAAUAAUGGAAUAGGACGUUCGAUCCUAUUUUGUUGGUUUCUAGGAUUGACGUAAUGAUUAAUAGGGAUAGUUGGGGGCAUUAGUAUUCAAUUGUCAGAGGUGAAAUUCUUGGAUUUAUUGAAGACUAACUACUGCGAAAGCAUUUGCCAAGGAUGUUUUCAUUAAUCAAGAACGAAAGUUAGGGGAUCGAAGACGAUCAGAUACCGUCGUAG
rnacentral:rRNA from 1 species